rnacentral:tRNA from 1 species
GCCCGGGUGGUCUAAUGGGUAAGCAUCUCUGAUUCGUUCUUUACUGAGAGCUUGUCCACUAACUCCCGCAAUAGUAUGAUUCUCGCUUAGGGUGCGAGAGGUUCCGCGUUCGAUCCGCGGCUCGGGCC